GUGGGCAUAGUUUAAACCAAAACACCAGACUGUGAUCCUGGAAACAGAGGCUCUCCUC
rnacentral:tRNA from 1 species